ACCCAAUUCUAUGACACAAGCAUCAGAUGGACCCUCUUUUCCAUCCACCGGUAUAAUUGCAACACAUUGAAUUCACUCUUGAAUAGCAUUAAUAAUGUGAGGUACCACGUAAAUGACAGAAGAAGUGUGAAAUUAUGCACCAAUAUAGACAAUACAACAGAAAAGAAAAGUUCAAAAUUAGUGCCAAAACUCGAACAGUAUUCCCCGGAUAAUCUUCCCUUCUCUCCUUAUCAAAUAAUAGACUAAAACAAGAAAAAAGCACAAUUUAUGAAAUUAAAAUCUGCCAACUAGUUAAGGACCUCAACAUAGCGAAAAUAGAUUAGAUUUUCUCUAAAAAUGGUAAGAACAAGCCAACAACUCGCCUGGUAAAUUUUUACAGUAAUUAUAUUGUUGUCACGUGUUCAUCUUAUAUCUAGAAACUGUUCACAAUUUCCAAGGUCGAGGUCCACCUUCAAAUAUUGGAAUCAAGUCAUCAUUUGCUUAGUGUAUGAGGAAGAUUCAACUCUCAACCUCUGCUUCAAUCAAGAUUUCACACCAAAAUUCACGGACAAGACUACAUGCUAUAGAAAAAAAAAUGAAAUAGCUGCAAUCUUUAUAAGAUAGUAACCUCAAUUAAAUCUAGUACCAUGAAUCAAAGCUUAAUGACAGAAUUAAAACAAUACUAAAACUAAAUUCAAGUGAAACCACAUAUUUAGAUCUAAGCAAACUAAGCUUAAUUGAAGGAUGCUUUUUUAAGCUCUCCUCCAUCAUCCAAAACGUUCACUUCUCCAUGCUCAAAAGGCAACAUUGUCCCGACAUCAAAUUCAAGUAUGGAUCUACAUACCAAAGUGAAAGAGACAUACGAAGAAAACACACACACACACACACACACAUAUAUAUAAAACAAGGUGAUGAUAUUAAAGAAACGAGGAAAAUAGAAAAUCA
rnacentral:lncRNA from 1 species